rnacentral:rRNA from 1 species
GACAGAGGGUGCAAACGUUGUUCGGAAUUACUGGGCGUAAAGCGCGUGUAGGCAGUUCUGCAAGUCGGCUGUGAAAGCCCUGGGCUCAACCUAGGAAGUGCACUCGAAACUGCAGAACUGGAGUCCUGGAGAGGAAGGCGGAAUUCUCGGUGUAGAGGUGAAAUUCGUAGAUAUCGAGAGGAACACCGGUGGCGAAGGCGGCCUUCUGGACAGUGACUGACGCUGAGACGCGAAAGCGUGGGGAGCAAACAGG